UCGUUGCGGUUUCGUUGUAAAGCAUGUUGCGUUUUUUUAAAAGGAAGGUCUACUUAAAAUUUACUUGUAAAGUUUAUAACUUCAGUGAUACACUGUUUUCUACAGGAGAGGACUGUUCAAUUUCCUUGCUAAAAAGGCAGCUGUAAUAAUCAACUCAAUAUAUUUAAAGCUAGUGACACAUUUCGCCACUGUGGAAUAAAAGUUGAGAUACUAAAAUGGCAAAACGACACAAGAAAAACAAACACAACAAAACCCGUAAAAACGUCAAACCUGCCACACCAGCCCUCAGGUCUAACCUAGCUGUCCCCCACACGGGUUACAUGACCCGGGCUGUCCCCCACACGGGUCACAUGACCCUAGACAGACAGAACAAACUAUGUCAGCAGGUGGUAGUGUAUGACAGCAGGUACGCCGAGGUGCAGGAACGAAUCCACGGCGGAGUGUGCUGUGUUUGUGUCAAGCCGGGGUAUUUCAUGUCAACGUGUCAGCGAUGUCAGGUGUCAAAAUACUGUGACAGGAGCUGUCAUCUGAGACACCUGAAGGAUGUCAGACAACAGGAGACGUGCUUUUUCAAACAUCAUAACAUAGAUCAGGGGUCGGCAACCUUUUGAUACGCAAGAGCCAAAAGUUACAAUUUGCAAACUUUCCCAGUUUUUUAAGAGCC